AACAGCAGGGGUUUUUGUGAGUGGUCCUUCUGGGAACAAUGACACUGAAGCGCACGUGCACAAGACGACUCCAUUUUUUUCUUUCAGUGUUUGAACGAAUACAUCGUCACCCGGUUGGAAUAUUAUCGCUAUUUUACGAGAAAAAUAGCAUAAACAUUUAUUUUAAACAGCAUUUGACAUGCUUCGAAGUACGGUAAUGGAAUAUUUUGAAAUUUUUUGUCACGAAAUGUGCCGGCCUGUCACCCUUCGGAUAGUGACUUGAACGCACAAACAAAACGGAGCUAUUUGGAUAUAACUAUGGAUUAUUUCGAACCAAAACAACAUUUGUUGUUGAAGUAGAAGUCCUGGGAGUGCAUUCUUACGAAGAACAGCAAAGGGACAAAAGUUGGCAUCUGAUCACGUUUCACUCCAUUGCAUUGGCUUGGUAGGAGAAAACCAACCUGCCCGACUCGUUUGGAGUGCAGAGCAAAUUAGAAGUAUCCACUUGGGAUAACAUUUUCCAGAAGAAUAAGGAAUAAUGUAUCUCUAGGGUAUCUAUUCUAAACAAACAGAGUGAAGGACAAGGCCGCUGAACACCGUGUGGUACACCUCUGGAAGAACCGUUCUAACAGACAUUCUGAGACCAACCUACUACAACUACUAAGGACAUGGUGACCUUUGGUGGACAACCAGAGACUUCUGAUGAACUACUCUCCAUAGAUGGACUGGUUGAUUUCAACAGAGAGAUGACAAGGACAUACAAGCGUAAAUACAGUUGAAGUUGGAAGUUUACAUACACUUAGGUUGGAGUCAUUAAAACUUGUUUUUCAACCAUAGUUUUGGCAAGUCGGUUAGGACAUCUACUUUGUGCAUGACACAAGUAAUUUUUCCAACAAUUGUUUACAGACAUAUUAUUUCACUUAUAACUCACUGUAUCACAAUUCCAGUGGGUCAGAAGUUUACAUACACUAAGUUGACUGUGCCUUUAAACAGCUUGGAAAAUUCCAGAAAAUUAUAUCAUGGCUUUAGCAGCUUCUGAUAAAUUAUGUCAAUUAGCCUGAGUCAAUUGGAGGUGUACCUGUGGAUGUAUUUCAAGGCCUACCUUCAAAUGCAGUGCCUCUUUGCUUGACAUUAUGGGAAAAUCAAAAGAAAUCAGACAAAAAUUGUAGACCUCCACAAGUCUGUUUCAUCCUUGGGAGCAAUUUUCAAAUGCCUGAAGGUACCACGUUCAUCUGUACAAACAAUAGUACGCAAGUGUAAGCACCAUGGGACCAUGCAGCCGUCAUACCGCUCAGGAAGGAGACGCGUUCUGUCUCCUAGAGAUGAAAGUACUUUGGUGCGAAAAGUGCAAAUCAAUCCCAGAACAACAGCAAAGGACCUUGUCACGAUGCUGGAAGAAACAGGUACAAAAGUAUUUUUAUCCACAGUAAAAUGAGUCCGAUAUCGACAUAACCUGAAAGGCCGCUCAGCAAGGAAGAAGCCACUGCUCCAAAACCACCAUAAAAAAGCCAGACUACUGCACAUGGAG
rnacentral:lncRNA from 1 species